rnacentral:rRNA from 1 species
CAGCCGCCGCGGUAAUACGUAGGUCCCGAGCGUUGUCCGGAUUUAUUGGGCGUAAAGCGAGCGCAGGCGGUUAGAUAAGUCUGAAGUUAAAGGCUGUGGCUUAACCAUAGUACGCUUUGGAAACUGUUUAACUUGAGUGCAAGAGGGGAGAGUGGAAUUCCAUGUGUAGCGGUGAAAUGCGUAGAUAUAUGGAGGAACACCGGUGGCGAAAGCGGCUCUCUGGCUUGUAACUGACGCUGAGGCUCGAAAGCGUGGGGAGCAAACAGGAUUAGAUACCCCCGUAGUCCCUGUCUCUUAUACA